UCAGAGGGGGGUAGAAUUNCACGUGUAGCAGUGAAAUGCGUAGAGAUGUGGAGGAAUACCGAUGGCGAAGGCAGCCCCCUGGGAUAAUACUGACGUUCAUGCUCGAAAGCGUGGGUAGCAAACAGGAUUAGAUACCCUGGUAGUCCACGCCCUAAACGAUGUCGAUUAGCUGUUGGGCAGCUUGACUGCUUAGUAGCGUAGCUAACGCGUGAAAUCGACCGCCUGGGGAGUACGGUCGCAAGAUUAAAACUCAAAGGAAUUGACGGGGACCCGCACAAGCGGUGGAUGAUGUGGAUUAAUUCGAUGCAACGCGAAGAACCUUACCUGGUCUUGACAUGUACGGAACCCUCCAGAGACGGAGGGGUGCCUUCGGGAACCGUAACACAGGUGCUGCAUGGCUGUCGUCAGCUCGUGUCGUGAGAUGUCGGGUUAAGUCCCGCAACGAGCGCAACCCUUGUCAUUAGUUGCCAUCAUUCAGUUGGGCACUCUAAUGAGACUGCCGGUGACAAACCGGAGGAAGGUGGGGAUGACGUCAAGUCCUCAUGGCCCUUAUGACCAGGGCUUCACACGUCAUACAAUGGUCGGUACAAAGGGUAGCCAAGCCGCGAGGCGGAGCCAAUCUCAUAAAACCGAUCGUAGUCCGGAUUGCACUCUGCAACUCGAGUGCAUGAAGUCGGAAUCGCUAGUAAUCGCAGGUCAGCAUACUGCGGUGAAUACGUUCCCGGGUCUUGUACACA
rnacentral:rRNA from 1 species